rnacentral:rRNA from 1 species
UACGUAGGGGCAAGCGUUGUCCGGAUUUAUUGGGCGUAAAGAGCGUGUAGGCGGUCAGGUAGGUCCGUUGUGAAAACUCGAGGCUCAACCUCGAGACGCCGAUGGAAACCAUCUGACUAGAGUCCGGAAGAGGAGAGUGGAAUUCCUGGUGUAGCGGUGAAAUGCGCAGAUAUCAGGAAGAACACCCGUGGCUAAGGCGGCUCUCUAGUACGGUACUGACGCUGAGGCACGAAAGCGUGGGGAGCAAACAGG